CACACGUCGCCUGCGCGCGCGCUCGUGACCAGAGUGUAAAGUGCUAAAAAUGUGACGUUUUUUUUUUAUUCUGGCAAAACCUGGCAAAACGCGUCGUUGUGCUUGGAGACUUCCUAAUAAAAAUGACAUAACAAAUGUGGAGCUACUCCAGCGUGGACAUCCCGCGAGAGCGGGUGACUCGCGCGGACAGACUCAGGAUAUACAUAUCUGAGUGCGUCGUCUGCUUCUGUAUCAUAUUCUUCAUCGUCUGCGUGGGACUACUGCUGUAUUUGUUCUUCCAUCUAUAUAAUAGUGUUACCAGCAUCAAGAAAGUCACGGAGACAUUGAUAGAGAGCUAGAAUUGAAAAGUACUCAUAGUUAAUAUGCAUUUCUGAGAGCGUGGUCUGCUUCUGUAUCAUAUUCUUCAUCGUCUGCGUCGGACUACUGCUGCAUUUGUUCUAUAAUAGUGUGACGAGUAUCAAGAAAGUCACAGAAACAUUGAUAGAGAGCUAGAAUUAUAGAAUGUGAGUGAUUUAACUUAGGAGCAAUCCAGAAUAUACAUAUCUGAGUGCGUGGUCUGCUUCUGUAUUAUGUCUUCAUCGUCUGCGCGGGACUGCUGCUGUAUUUGUUCUUCCAUGUAUAAAAUAAUGUUACCAGUAUCAAAAAAUUCACAGAGACGUUGAUAGAGAUAUAACAAAAAAUGUAGAAUAUACAUCUCUGUGUUCGUGGUCUUUUUCCGUAUUAUAUUCUUCAUCGUCUGGUGGGACUACUGCUGUAUUUAUUCUUCCAUGUAUACAAUAGUGUGGCAAGUAAUAU